GCUUUCAUGGUGUAGUGGUCAGCACACUCGGCGCGUAUUCGAGAGGUCCGUGGUUUGAAUCCCGGAGAGGGCA
rnacentral:tRNA from 1 species